UACGUAGGGUGCGAGCGUUAAUCGGAAUUACUGGGCGUAAAGCGUGCGCAGGCGGUUUUGUAAGCCAGGUGUGAAAUCCCCGGGCUCAACCUGGGAAUGGCAUUUGGGACUGCAAGGCUGGAGUGCGGCAGAGGAGACUGGAAUUCCUGGUGUAGCAGUAGAAAUGCGUAGAUAUCAGGAGGAACACCGAUGGCGAAGGCAGGUCUCUGGGCUGACACUGACGCUCAUGCACGAAAGCGUGGGGAGCAAACAGG
rnacentral:rRNA from 1 species